rnacentral:rRNA from 1 species
UACGGGGGGGGCAAGCGUUGUUCGGAAUUACUGGGCGUAAAGGGCGUGUAGGUGGCCAACUAAGUCCGACGUGAAAUCCCCAGGCUUAACCUGGGAACUGCGUCGGAUACUGGAUGGCUUGAAUUCGGGAGAGGGAUGCAGAAUUCCAGGUGUAGCGGUGAAAUGCGUAGAUAUCAGGAGGAACACCGGUGGCGAAGGCGGGUCUCUGGGCCGAUACUGACGCUGAGGAGCGAAAGCGUGGGGAGCGAACAGG